GAUGAACGCUGGCGGCGUGCCUAAUACAUGCAAGUCGAGCGAACAGACGAGGAGCUUGCUCCUCUGACGUUAGCGGCGGACGGGUGAGUAACACGUGGAUAACCUACCUAUAAGACUGGGAUAACUUCGGGAAACAGGAGCUAAUACCGGAUAAUAUAUUGAACCGCAUAGUUCAAUAGUGAAAGACGGUUUUGCUGUCACUUAUAGAUGGAUCCGCGCCGCAUUAGCUAGUUGGUAAGGUAACGGCUUACCAAGGCGACGAUGCGUAGCCGACCUGAGAGGGUGAUCGGCAACACUGGAACUGAGACACGGUCCAGACUCCUACGGGAGGCAGCAGUAGGGAAUCUUCCGCAAAGGGCGCAAGCCUGACGGAGCCGCGCCGCGUGAGUGAUGAAGGUCUUCGGAUCGUAAAGCUCUGUUAUUAGGGAAGAACAAAUGUGUAAUUAACUAUGCACGUCUUGACGGUACCUAAUCAGAAAGCCCCGGCUAACUACGUG
rnacentral:rRNA from 1 species